AUUGAACGCUGGCGGCAGGCUUUACACAUGCAAGUCGAACGGUAACAUAAAGAAGCUUGCUUCUUUGAUGACGAGUGGAGGACGGGUGAGUAAUGCUUGGGAAUCUAGCUUAUGGAGGGGGAUAACUACGGGAAACUGUAGCUAAUACCGCGUAGAAUCGGGAGAUGAAAGUGUGGGACCUUCGGGCCACAUGCCAUAGGAUGAGCCCAAGUGGGAUUAGGUAGUUGGUGAGGUAAAGGCUCACCAAGCCGACGAUCUCUAGCUGGUCUGAGAGGAUGACCAGCCACACUGGGACUGAGACACGGCCCAGACUCCUACGGGAGGCAGCAGUGGGGAAUAUUGCGCAAUGGGGGCAACCCUGACGCAGCCAUGCCGCGUGAAUGAAGAAGGCCUUCGGGUUGUAAAGUUCUUUCGGUAGCGAGGAAGGCAUUUAGUUUAAUAAACUGGAUGAUUGACGUUAACUACAGAAGAAGCACCGGCUAACUCCGUGCCAGCAGCCGCGGUAAUACGGAGGGUGCGAGCGUUAAUCGGAAUAACUGGGCGUAAAGGGCACGCAGGCGGUGACUUAAGUGAGGUGUGAAAGCCCCGGGCUUAACCUGGGAAUUGCAUUUCAUACUGGGUCGCUAGAGUACUUUAGGGAGGGGUAGAAUUCCACGUGUAGCGGUGAAAUGCGUAGAGAUGUGGAGGAAUACCGAAGGCGAAGGCAGCCCCUUGGGAAUGUACUGACGCUCAUGCACGAAAGCGUGGGGAGCAAACAGG
rnacentral:rRNA from 1 species